UCCAUAGGGGGCAAGCGUUGUCCGGAUUUACUGGGCGUAAAGAGCGUGUAGGCGGCCAAGCAGGUCCGUUGUGAAAACUGGAGGCUUAACCUCCAGACGUCGACGGAAACCGCGUGGCUAGAGUCCGGAAGAGGAGAGUGGAAUUCCUGGUGUAGCGGUGAAAUGCGCAGAUAUCAGGAAGAACACCAAUGGCGAAGGCAGCUCUCUGGGACGGUACUGACGCUGAGACGCGAAAGCGUGGGGAGCGAACAGG
rnacentral:rRNA from 1 species